CCCAGACUCCUACGGGAGGCAGCAGUGAGGAAUAUUGGUCAAUGGGCUUACGCCUGAACCAGCCAAGUCGCGUGAGGGAAGACUGCCCUAUGGGUUGUAAACCUCUUUUGUCAGGGAGCAACGCCGGCUACGUGUAGCCGGACUGAGAGUACCUGAAGAAAAAGCAUCGGCUAACUCCGUGCCAGCAGCCGCGGUAAUACGUAGGGGGCAAGCGUUAUCCGGAUUUACUGGGUGUAAAGGGGGCGCAGACGGCAAUGCAAGCCAGGAGUGAAAGCCCGGGGCCCAACCCCGGGACUGCUCUUGGAACUGCAUGGCUGGAGUACAGGAGGGGCAGGCGGAAUUCCUAGUGUAGCGGUGAAAUGCGUAGAUAUUAGGAGGAACACCGGUGGCGAAGGCGAUUCUCUGGACUGUAACUGACGCUGAGGCUCGAAAGCGUGGGGAGCAAACAGGAUUAGAUACCCGUGUA
rnacentral:rRNA from 1 species